rnacentral:rRNA from 1 species
UACGUAGGUGGCGAGCGUUGUCCGGAUUUACUGGGCGGAAAGAGCGCGCAGGCGGUCGUCCAAGUCGCGUGUGAAAGCCCCCGGCUCAACUGGGGAGGGUCACGCGAUACUGAUCGACUCGAAGGCAGGAGAGGGAAGCGGAAUUCCUGGUGUAGCGGUGAAAUGCGCAGAUAUCAGGAAGAACACCCGUGGCGAAGGCGGCUCUCUGGGACGGUACUGACGCUGAGACGCGAAAGCGUGGGGAGCGAACAGG